rnacentral:rRNA from 1 species
CCUACGGGAGGCUGCAGUGGGGAAUAUUGGACAAUGGGGGGAACCCUGAUCCAGCCAUGCCGCGUGUGUGAAGAAGGCCCUCGGGUUGUAAAGCACUUUUAGUGAGGAAGAACGCCUGGUGGUUAAUACCCAUCAGGAAAGACAUCACUCACAGAAGAAGCACCGGCUAACUCCGUGCCAGCAGCCGCGGUAAUACGGAGGGUGCGAGCGUUAAUCGGAAUUACUGGGCGUAAAGCGCGCGUAGGUGGCUUGAUAAGCCGGUUGUGAAAGCCCCGGGCUCAACCUGGGAACGGCAUCCGGAACUGUCAAGCUAGAGUGCAGGAGAGGAAGGUAGAAUUCCCGGUGUAGCGGUGAAAUGCGUAGAGAUCGGGAGGAAUACCAGUGGCGAAGGCGGCCUUCUGGACUGACACUGACACUGAGGUGCGAAAGCGUGGGUAGCAAACAGGAUUAGAUACCCUAGUAGUC